UCAGUUGGCUGGACGGCCGCUCCGGCAAUGGUGGAAACGCCGCCGGGGAGGAAAGUCCGGGCUCCAUGGAAACACGGUGCCGGGUAACGCCCGGCGGGGGCGACCCCAGGGAAAGUGCCACAGAAAGCAAACCGCCUUGCCGGCGAAAGCCGGGGAGGCAAGGGUGAAAGGGUGGGGUAAGAGCCCACCGCGGGACCGGCGACGGGACCGGCAUGGUAAACCCCACCGGGAGCAAGACCGAAUAGGGAUGGCGCGGGGCUCGCGCCUCAGGCCCGUUUCCGGGCCAGUCAUCCGGGUAGGUUGCGUGAGGCGUCUGGCAACAGGCGUCCCAGAUGAAUGGCCGUCGCGCGGCGGCAACGCCGCCAUACAGAACCCGGCUUACAGGCCAACUGGCGCU
rnacentral:RNase_P_RNA from 1 species